rnacentral:rRNA from 1 species
UACGUAGGGGGCAAGCGUUGUCCGGAAUCAUUGGGCGUAAAGCGCGUGUAGGCGGCCCGGUAAGUCCGCUGUGAAAGUCGGGGGCUCAACCCUCGAAUGCCGGUGGAUACUGUCGGGCUAGAGUGCGGAAGAGGCGAGUGGAAUUCCUGGUGUAGCGGUGAAAUGCGCAGAUAUCAGGAGGAACACCAAUUGCGAAGGCAGCC